UUUAUAUCAUUAAGAACCGGAUCAAAUAGACAUUCCACCUAGUGUAGGCGUCACGGGGAGCCUAUUCCCGCCUUCCCACUCGCCUUCCUCGCGCCCUUCAGUAGGGUGAGUGAAGAGGCGAACACGCCUCGAGUGCAUGAAGUUAUUUUUCAUACUUCAUAAACUCUUAAAUGUUUCUCCUGGCUCUUCCAAUU
ensembl:ncRNA F40F9.13 ncRNA